AUUUGUUACGCGGUGUAGCACAGGAUCAUACAUACAUAUAUACAUAAACGUACGAUUGUAAGUUUCUGAAAGGGGUUAUAUAUAUUUUCAACGUGUAUUUUUUGUGCGUAACACAUAUUAACAUUAAAAGUAAAAAAAUAAAAAAAACGCAAAUCUUCAAACGAAAUGGCUAGCGGAAAUUCUGAUGUAGAUUCAGGAAAUUCUAAAGGACGGGGGAAAGAUAAAUUACCACAACAGAGUGAUAGUAGUAAUGAGUAUAGUCGAACAAAUGAUAAAGAGAAAAAGAAAGGCGAUGUAAAAAAUUUUAAACAGAAGAAUGAAAAUAAAGAUAAAAAAACAAUGAACACUAGUAUCAAUAAAAAGAACAUAAUUGGUUCGCUAUCAUCUUAUAAAAACAAAUUUAAAUUUUUACGUGAUAAUGCAAUUUUAAUAAUUAUUAUUUUUUCUAUUUUUGUUUUAAUUUCAUUUAAAUAUUUAGAAGAAAAAUACUCACUUGAAUCUUAUUUAGAAGAAGAUGAUACUUUUGACUAUUAUGAAAUUUUAAAUUGUAAGAAAGGUGAUAGUAUACAAAAAAUAAAAAAAAAUUAUCGUGAUUUAUCAAAGAUGUACCAUCCAGAUGUUAAUAAAGAUUGUAAAGAUUGCGAUCAAAAAUUUAGAGACAUCAUAAAAGCUUAUAAAACAUUAUCAGAUCCCAGAUUAAAACAAGCUUAUGAUUUAUCGAAAGGAAAGGUUCUAAAACUGAUUGAAUCAAAUAGUAUUAAUUUGAAUAUUCGAAAUUAUAACGAAUUAGUAGAAAAUUCGAAUGAUUAUUGGAUUAUUCAAGUUUAUUCUGAUACUGAUAGUACAUGUUUAAGUUUUGCUAAUAUUUGGGAAGAAGCGUAUGAUAAAUAUCAUGAUUAUAUAUCUUUUGGUAGAAUAAAUGUAUUAGCAGAAAAAAGAUUAGUAAACAAGGUAAUUCCAUUUAAUGUUAAAAUAUAUCCAACUAUUUAUAUUUUAGCACCUGAUGGAUCAUAUUUAUUAUAUUCUAAUAUUUUUAAUGCUAAUUCUAAAGAUUUUCAGAAUUUUAUUACAAAUAGUUAUCCUAAUUAUAUUCAUGGAUUAAAUGAAUUUAAUAAGUUAAAUUUUGUAACAAGAAAAGAAGAGGAAAACAAAAAAAUUAAAUCAAUACAUAUAGAUAAACAUAAUAAAAUACUAUUAUUAACAAACAAAAAAAAAUUAGGAUUACAAGUUAAACAAAUCGGUUUUAAAUUUAAUAACAUAUAUAGUACUUUUUUAAUUACAUAUAACGAAAUAAAUGAUAUAAAAAAUGAAACACUAAAAAAGGGAAUUAUUGAUGCUUUAAAAGUAUUAAGUGUAAACAAAAAUGAAUAUAUAAAAGAAAAUGAAGGUAUUGAUUAUUUUUUAUUAGUUAAUAAUAAUAGUGAAGUAAAAAUUAUUCGAAGAGUUUCAGCAACUAAUAUUAAAGAUGUAUAUAAUGAUUCUUUAAAACAAACUAUUGUUGAAAUUAAUACGACAAAUAUAGACUCAGUUUGUUCUUCUACCGAAUUAAGACAUACUUAUUGUUAUGUAACUAUUAUUAAUAUAUUAAAUAAUGAAGAAACCAUAACUUAUUUAGAAAAAAUUUAUAAAAAUAUCAAUAACUCUUAUAUUAAUUUUAUGUCGAAAAUGAAUAGUGCUGAUAAAGAAGAUAGACAUAUAUUUAUACAACCUGUAUAUCUUUUAAAAAACAAUCUAACUGUUAAUUUUAAUAAAUUUUUAAAAGAAAAAAUCGUUCAUACUUCUGAAUCCUUUUUUAUAGAUUAUUCUUCGAGCACAUAUGCUACUAUAAAUGAAAUCAAACAAUUAGCUACUUAUUCAGAACAAAAACAUGAUCUAUCUUAUCUUAAAAACAUCUAUAAAGACAUAGAAAUGUUAUCAUUUGAAAAAAUUCCAAGUUAUUGUUUACCAAUAGAAACCAACUGUGUAUAUAAUGUAAAAAAAACAUUUACAUACAGAUUAUAUACUAUUUUUAAAAGAACAUCAAAAGGAAAAAUUCUUAUGUCCAUAGUUGUCGGAUUAGUUUUAUAUCCAACUUUUAAAGAACACAAAAAAUUAAAGUAUGUAUUAUUGGCUUUAUCCUUUAGUGUCUCCAUAGCUAUAACAAACGUAAAGGAAUUAUUUCUUUUGUUAACGAACUAGGCUUUUAACACUGUACUUUUUCUA
rnacentral:lncRNA from 1 species